GUCAACUACCCCUGACUAAAGUCAGAGGCUUGGCAACAAGCCUUGGUUGACUAGCCUCAGUCCGUUUUCGGACGGACUCCGUUGGUUGGGAAUCCGUUCUGUCGCAAGACGGGACGCAAACAGGCACUGCGGGAUGUCGAUCCUAGUCCUGCGCUCUGC
rnacentral:sRNA from 1 species